AAAUUACAAAUAAUUAUUAUUAUUAUUUUAUUUUUUUUAACAGUUGUUUAAAUGAAAAACUGCCGCUAGGUUACUAAGAUAGAGGCCAAUAUCACAUAGCCUGUGGUCCACUUCAAUCACAACAAUUCGUCCAAUUCUUCCAACGAUCAAAUGAAAAGGGGCAAAAAAAAAAAAGAGUUCUUGAAUUGGAGCAACACAGAGCUCUCCUCAAUCGGGCAUAGUAGAGAAGUAGUACUGGUACUAGUGUCAUUAGAAGGAAAAGAAGAAGACAGAUAUAACGUUGUUUUGACGUCAGAAAGAUCAGCAAGAGCAUAUAAGUUACAAAUUUCAGUUGGGAUUAUAGAGGAUUACUGGAGUUGCAGAAGCCGCUGAUUGUCAGGAUUAUGACUUUGUUGGUCCUUGUGAAUCAAUUGAAUAGUGCAAUGCAACUUGCUCUGCCCUAGGAUAUACUAAUUGUGGUGUAAACUGUUAUGGGGUUUCAUUAAACUAUUAUUGUUGUUGUCUUUCAUAGCCUUAUAAAUUUCUCAUUUUGAAUAAAUUAAACUCUUCUGUUUUAUAUAUUACUCCAAUGGAAAAAACUCAUCUUAAUUUGUAGGAAGAGUUAGAGAAACCAUAUGAGUAAAUAAUUUUUUCCUCUAUAAGGUUAAUUUCCUUACUCAUAAACCAGAAAUGGCAGCCAAUUUACAUUUUAAUAAUCAUAAUGUAGGUUUUGAAAAAAGUAGUACGAUUUGAGAUUGUAGGUUUUUGAACAUUGAGGUGACAGUGGAACACCAGCUAACCUAGUCACUGCAAUAAAAAUUACUGAUGAAGAUUUCCUUUCUUUUAGGAGCAAAUAAGACCAAACGAGUUCUGCAGAUAACAGCAUGAAGAUAAGCACAGAACCUAAUGAAAGAAGAAAAUAUAAACAGAAUAAUGCAUUCUUAUACAGAUGCCAAACUCGGAUAGUUUGGGUGAGGCUAUGAAGCUGGCCUAUAACAUUUAUUUAUUUAUUUAUUAUUAUUAUUGUUGAAGAAGAAGAAGAAGAAGAAUAUGAAGAAGAAGAAAUUUUGGGGGAUGUAGGAGUAUAAAUUUCUAUAAAAUUGUUACCUUCGAGAUAUAAAAAUGUGCGGUGGCUAAGAUUUAGAGAUGAUAGUGGGAACUUGCCACCCGGAUCACCACUCUAAAGAUUAGUGGAUGACAUUAAAAAAGUUAUAGCAGUUCAUUAUUUUGGCAAAAGAUGAGUAAUCCAAGAAUAUAUCUAUGUCAAAAAGUUACUAAAAAGAAGCAACAUUAAAAAUGGAAAUCCCUAUAAAUUUCCACCAAGAAACAACUUCUUCUAAUCGUCUACCAAAACAUCCCUCCUCACCAUUCUUCAUGUAAAACACUUCAACACAUUACUUUCUAGCUAGUAGGAACAUGGAACUAAACCAGAAUAUCUAGCUAAGCAGACAUAUUGACAGGUGAUGCUUAUCUAUUCUAAUGAAGCUCCACUUUAUACAAAUAUCAAGCAUAAACUAGCACUGGAAUUAAAAUAAUGGUAAUUAACACAGACCUAAUAACUCAUGAUCUGUACAGUACAAGCAGGUUGUUCAACUCUUCCAUUCAGCUUUAGAGCCAAAAUUUCUUAUUUAAGAUUAAAUUGACAUAUCCAAACACCAUAGAACAACAGAACCACCUGAAUGGAAAUCGUAGUAUGGGAAAUGCUACAUGCUUAAACACAGAAAAAAAGGCAGAGAAAAGAGUAAUUAAGAAGAGGUCAAUAUUGGGAAGAAUGUAGAAGGAUGAUUUGUAUUGCUAGGUAUUUUUCAUAUUUAAAACAUAAAAGCUAGGCUAAUUAAUGGAAAUUGAUAUAUGUGUGUGUGAUAUGAUAUGAGUAAAAGGUCCCAAAAAAGAAUUCUUUGUAUUAACCACUUGGGGUGGUUUAAAAAAUUUUCUUCAUUUGGAUGCAUUCCAGUUUUUAAUGGAAUACUGCAUAUCUUAUUUUAAGAAAGCUUUAUGUUUAGAUUAGGAGAAUAAAGCACGUUUUCAGCUCUGAGAUUUGAUUUUUUCCUUGAAAAAGAUAUUAUCUGAAAGAUAGUUUCGGUGAAAGUAUGGUUUCUAAGGUCGCCUGACAAAUGUUGUUUAGUUUUAUUCAUACUCUCUGAACUCCUGAAAAGGUAGGGUUACUGGUCAUCCUUGUAUUUUCAUUUGCUUUUAUUAAAAGGUUUCUAGCAAAAGAAAUGUUCAUUCUUGUAAAGAGUUCUCAUAUGAGGGAAUGGUAUUCUGUAAAAUGUUUAAAUCUUUUUUGAACAUGCUUUUGAAUUGAAAUACAGCAAUGUUGAGCUUUUCAUAGUGUAUUUGAAGGUAAAAAUUAUGUGUUUAUUCAUGCAUGUUUUAUUCAAAGUAUGGGAAUCUGAAUUCUGAUAACAUUUAUAUAAAAAUGGCCCUACUAGUUUAUGAUGUACGUCGUCCUUGUUCAAAUUGUGAAUAUGGAUAAGGGUUAUCACAUUCUUUGAGUAUGAAUGUCCAUAACUUUAUUGUUAGGACAUUCUAAAUAGACACUUGUAUGAUUUCUUUCAAGCUUGACAUAGAGAUAACAAUAAUGUCAUGCACCAACCAUGUGGAACUGAAUCCCAAUGAUGCAGCAUUUCUGGACAGAGAUAUUAUUCAAGAGAUAAUUAAAGAAAUGGCCAAGAAUAGACCAAUUGACACAAAAGGGAAGAGGGGAUACAAAGGAUUUUUCAGGUUCGACUUAAGUUGUAUGAGUUACUUGUAAAUUGUAUUCCCCCAGAAACCAUCUUGAAGGAAAACAGGAUGCGUCUUGGUCAAAAAGAAUAUUUCACUUAGAAGCAUUUGUGGCCAAGUUCAUGUGCAUUUGAAAGGCUUUCCUCAUUGCGACAUAUUCGGGUGAAUACUCUCAAAGUAAACGAGCAUGAUUUAUUCCUCUGCUUUUGGAACGUGGAAUGAUGUUAGAAUAUGCAAUGACCAUCACUAGUAGUGUGAUAAGGUGUUUUUUUGACAGUGUCUUUAUAAUGUUUAAUCUAAAUGCCUUAUGGUGGCUUCAUCUUAAUUUUUGAGCAAAAACUUUUAGUCUCUUGU